rnacentral:rRNA from 1 species
UUAGUUAGUUGGCGGGGUAACAGCCCACCAAGACGAUGAUCAGUAGCUGGUCUGAGAGGACGGACAGCCACACUGGAACUGAGACACGGUCCAGACUCCUACGGGAGGCAGCAGUGAGGAAUUUUGCUCAAUGGGCGCAAGCCUGAAGCAGCGACGCCGCGUGAAUGAUGAAGUCUUUCGGGAUGUAAAGUUCUGUCGAUGGGGACAAUGAUGAUGGUACCCAUAGAGGAAGCACCGGCAAACUAUGUGCCAGCAGCCGCGGUAAUACAUAGGGUGCGAGCGUUAUCCGGAUUUACUGGGCGUAAAGCGUAUGUAGGCGGUAUUCUAAGUCAAACUUCAAAUCCUGGGGCUCAACUCCAGUUCGGGUUUGAUACUGGAAUACUCGAGUUUGGGAGAGGAAAGCGGAACUAACAGUGUAGCGGUGAAAUGCGUAGAUAUUGUUAGGAACACCCGUGGCGAAGGCGGCUUUCUGGACCAACACUGACGCUGAGAUACGAAAGCGUGGGGAGCAAACAGGAUUAGAUACCCUGGUAGUCCACGCUGUAAACAAUGUACAUUAGGUAUAGGGGGUAUCGACUCCUUCUGUGCCGAAGCUAACGCGUUAAAUGUACCGCCUGGGGAGUACGGUCGCAAGAUUAAAACUCAAAGGAAUUGACGGGGGCCCGCACAAGCAGUGGAUCAUGUGGUUUAAUUCGACGAUACCCGAAAAACCUUACCAGAACUCGACAUCUGGAGAAUUUCGUAGAAGUACGAAAGUGCCCGCAAGGGAGCUCCAAGACAGGUGGUGCAUGGUUGUCGUCAGCUCGUGUCGUGAGAUGUUAGGUUAAGUCCUGCAACGAGCGCAACCCUCGUGUUGUGUUGCUACAUUUAGUUGAGCACUCUCAACAGACUGCCCGUGGUAAACGGGAGGAAGGUGGGGAUGACGUCAAAUCAUCAUGCCCUUUAUGUUCUGGGCUACACACAUGAUACAAUGGCAAGUACAAAGGGACGCCAAGCCGCAAGGCGGAGCAAAUCUCAAAAAACUUGCCCCAGUUCAGAUUAUAGGCUGCAACUCGCCUGUAUGAAGAUGGA